rnacentral:tRNA from 1 species
CCGUCGAUAGCUCAGUUGGCAGAGCGGUGGACUGUAGAUCCAUAGGUCGCUGGUUCGACUCCGGCUCAGCGUA